AAUGCUACUGCCUGCCAACUGAUGCCCGGCGCCCAGUGCUCUUCUCACCCUGUAUCCUCCCCAGCGCUUAAAACAGUGCUUUGCAUAUAGAAUGCUCUGACCCCUGCUGCAAUGCUACUGCCUGCCAACUGAUGCCCGGCGCCCAGUGCUCUUCUCACCCUGUAUCCUCCCCAGCGCUUAAAACAGUGCUUUGCAUAUAGAAUGCUCUGACCCCUGCUGCAACGCUACUGCCUGCCAACUGAUGCCCGGUGCCCAGUGCUCUUCUCACCCUGUAUCCUCCC